UAACACCUGGGAAACAGAUGCUAAAUACCGGAUAAUAACAGAUGAUGCCUAUCAACUGUUUAAAGAUGGUUCUGCUAUCACUCUUGGAUGGACCUGCGGUGCAUUAGCUAGUUGGUAGGGUAACGGCCUACCAAGGGCGAUGAUGCAUAGCCCGAGUUGAGAGACUGAUCGGCCACAUUGGGGACUGAGACACGGCCCAAACUCCUACGAGAGGCAGCAGUAGGGAAUCUUCCACAAUGGACGCAAGUCUGAUGGAGCAAACGCCGCGUGAGUGAAGAAGGGUUUCGGCUCGUAAAAAGCUCUGUUGUUGGUGAAGAAGGACAGGGGUAGUAACUGACCCUUUGUUUGACGGUAAUCAAUUAGAAAGUCACGGGCUAACUACGUGCCAGCAGCCGCGGUAAAU
rnacentral:rRNA from 1 species